GAGUGAUAAUAAAUUAAGAGCCGCUUGGGAGCCACAAGAGCCGGCUCUUUUAAGAGAGCCGAGCCAAAAGAGCCGAAUCUGUGAAAAGAGCCGGACUUCCCAUCACUAAUGUGAAGAGAUGGGUUUUCAGUAUUGUAUCCUCCUUGAAGUAUCAACGGGGGUUUUGUAUGUCUCAUUCCACGCCACUAUGUGGCAGCACGGGCAGAAAGCAUUUCCGGUGUUGUCAGAGUGCAAAGGAUUGUGGGUGUUUGCGCUCAAUAAAUGCAACGGGACCCAAACGUUUUAACGUAUUUCUUGUUGGAGGGAACUUAAGGGCUGACGUGCUGUUUCAGCACCAAAUGUUUAGCAGCUACUUAACCUGUUCUGUAUUUUUUUUAUUAUAAUUUAGAAAGGCUAUCACUGCCAGUCUUUCAAACUUUUGUUUUGUUCAGAUAAGGAGCGUUACCUUGCUGGUCAGAGCGAAGAAACGAAACCCGUCAAGUCAUUGUCGGAGUCGAGAGUUUUUCUAACACUAUUUUUGGUCGGAAAUGUGCGUUAAAAUGAUGGAUUCCAACACGAAACGCAUAAAUUCCGUCUGGCUGCGUAAAGACUUUAAACCUGGAUCUACGUUGAGAUGGAGAUUGUUCCACGUUGCCACACAGGACAACGAGGCUCCCAAACAGUGUCGAGCCACCGCGGUGAGGGCGACCAUCAGAAAGAACCUUCGGCAGCAGUCAAAGCGGCCACACCUGGCUAAAUUCGCUCAAGUGCUGGAAGAUGUGGAUAAGACAAAGAAAACGGAGUCCAUGUAUAAAGAAGGUUCCGCUACGGCCUGUGUGCACAGUCAUCCACCAGGGGCAAUGGCGCCGGCAAACACCACGCAAUACUUGAUGAAUAACGUGUAUGAAGACAUGAAGUCAAACAUCCACUCAGUUCCAGUUUCACCUGAAAUAUCUGGACAUCUGUAUGGUGAAUGGCUUUCUCCCAGGAGCGUGUAUGCUGAACUGGACUCGGGCUAUGAAAGCUGUCUCUCUUUUCAGCAGCGAGACUUUGACGAAAUGUUUGAGCUGUGUUGGUAACCGGGUUGAACCGGAUUGAACCGGUCUACGUGGCCUUGUGAAAGUGGUCCGGCUUCCUCUUUUCGCCUAAGACAAAAAGCGGCGCACGGGACGCUGCCCGCCCAGUAGGGAGCGCUCCUUGGCUCUGCGUGGCGCCGCCCAGAGGAACGAGCCAAACGCACCUCAGCUUUGCUCUGGCCGAGGAUUGUGAAAUCCAGGUAAACCCGAGCAGGUAUUCUGUUGCACUGCAUUGUCAUUGUCAUGACAAUAGUAGUAAAAUAUAUGGAAAGUGCUUCCCACAGUCACUGUUGUCAGAGUUUUCCAGGUCACCCCUGCCAGGACACGGCUUCACUGUGAGAGGUGUGGGAGGCCAAGGAGGUCGGUCCUCGGGUGGCUGAUGUAAGGUGACCUUAAAUGUCAGUGGGCAUUUUGACUGUUUACAAGAAGAUUGAUGUGAAAUACAUGCCGGUUAAUGAUUGUGAAUUAUCACUUUUGUAGUUGUAUGGUAACAUGGUGUUUUAAUGAAUGCUGUUCAAUAAAUGCACUUUAUUACA